GAAAGAUCCAAAGUGUCAGAGAAGUCUCUCUCUUGGCCGUGAAUAACAGGCUACCUUGAAUUGGUGUUUCCUUUGCGUAUUUUGUUUCUAAGCAAAUCGAGUCCCAGGUAGAGUUUUGCCCUUGAGCAGCUUCAUGAGGUCAAGGAGGGGCGCUCACUCCACUCUGCACGGAAACACUGAGUGGAAUGAAAAUACAACCGGAGAGAAUGUCCUCCCCACCAGAAGGUCGCCUCGAGACAGGCCUCCACGCAUCGUUGCUGACCUCACACAGUGAUACCUCUGCAUGCCGGGGAGCAAUUCCAUCCAAGAAUGUCUGAGACGCGCUCUGCAAGAUGAGUUGGCAGCAUCUCUGUGCCUCUGGUUUUGCCAGGCUCCACCAACAUCCCGCUAAGAACUCUUCACCCUCAAGUGCACUGAGGGGAACCCCAGUGAAGGCCAAUGAGGGAAACCACACAUCACUGAGGGCCGACGGAGGCCCCCAAAGCUCAGAUCGCUGUGCUCGCCAGUAGGUCCCCAGACACCCUUAACACAGCUAUCUGCAGGAUUGAAUGAUUGCUGGGACCACACAAUUUACACUUGGCUCUCGUGGUCCGGAGGGGAGGACUGCGCCAGCAUGAGAAGACCAGAGAGCAAGUAAAUGGAAAUUUGGCGAGAUCCUGUGGCUGCUGUUGGUGGCUGCAGCCAGACAGGAAAACUGAGAUGGUGUGAGCAGAAAGGGCUGGAAGGAGUUGGCUUUUUCCAAGAAAUUACAGCGGAAUCUUCUUCCAAGAGGCUGGGGGCCUCUGCAGACAUGAUCUCAUUACUUACCCCCCAAAUCCCCCAGCUUCCCUACGGACCAAGGACCAGGGGUCUCUGCCCAGUCCUAGCUCCAAGGAAACUCACACUUGGCAGAUUUUCCUAAUCGGAGCUGGCCUUGAAGUUUGCUCACUGAUAAUCACCAGAAAGUCACCCCAACAAUGGGUGAUGCCAGAGUGUCCUCAAGCUUCAAGGGUCCGUAAAAACACUUGACUCCCCCAGGACAAAAAUGACUGGGGGAAACAUGCAGUUCUUCAAAGAGAACGGUUUCAUUCUGUACCAAAGGGUGUCUUAAUUUGCCUUGGCAAGAGAGGCAGCACCGUGUUGUGGGUGGACAGCACUCGGGGGGUGGACGGCACUCGGG
rnacentral:lncRNA from 1 species